rnacentral:misc_RNA from 1 species
GGUGGGAGCGAGCCUGCUCGCGAUGGCGUCGGCACAUCCGGCAUCAAUGCAAGCUGACCCACCGCAAUCGCGAGCAGGCUCGCUCCCACA